CAGCCGCCACGGUAAUACGUAGGUCCCGAGCGUUGUCCGGAUUUAUUGGGCGUAAAGGGAGCGCAGGCGGUUUAGUAAGUCUGAAGUUAAAGGCAUUGGCUCAACCAAUGUAUGCUUUGGAAACUGUUAGACUUGAGUGCAGAAGGGGAGAGUGGAAUUCCAUGUGUAGCGGUGAAAUGCGUAGGUAUAUGGAGGAACACCGGUGGCGAAAGCGGCUCUCUGGUCUGUCACUGACGCUGAGGCUCGAAAGCGUGGGUAGCGAACAGGAUUAGAUACCCGCGUAGUCCCUGUCUCUUAUACC
rnacentral:rRNA from 1 species